rnacentral:rRNA from 1 species
ACGAUCAGCAACACUGGAACUGAGACACGGUCCAGACACCUACGGGUGGCAGCAGUCGAGAAUCAUUCACAAUGGAGGCAACUCUGAUGGUGCGACGCCGCGUGGAGGAUGACGGUACUAGG